rnacentral:rRNA from 1 species
UACAGAGGGGGCAAGCGUUAUUCGGAAUUAUUGGGCGUAAAGGGCGCGUAGGCGGUUCUUCAAGUCUCUCGUGAAAUCCCUCGGCUUAACUGAGGACGUGCGGGAGAUACUGAAGGGCUUGAGUCCGGAAGAGGGUGGUGGAAUUCCCAGUGUAGCGGUGAAAUGCGUAGAGAUCGGAAGGAACACCAGUGGCGAAGGCGGCUUUCUGGACCUAUAUUGACGCUGAGGCGCGAAAGCGUGGGGAGCAAACAGG